CUACGGGGCGCUGCAGUAAGGAAUAUUGCGCAAUGGAGGCAACUCUGACGCAGCCAUGCCGCGUGCAGGAAGAAGGCCUUAUGGGUCGUAAACUGCUUUUAUUUAGGAAUAAACCCCCGAACGUGUUCGGGGCUGAAGGUACUAAACGAAUAAGCACCGGCUAACUCCGUGCCAGCAGCCGCGGUAAUACGGAGGGUGCAAGCGUUAUCCGGAUUUAUUGGGUUUAAAGGGUGCGCAGGCGGGCUAUUAAGUCAGUGGUGAAAUCCCGGGGCUCAACUCCGGAACUGCCAUUGAUACUGGUAGUCUUGAGUUUGGUUGAAGUGGGCGGAAUGUAGCAUGUAGCGGUGAAAUGCAUAGAUAUGCUACAGAACACCAAUCGCGAAGGCAGCUCACUAAGCCAAAACUGACGCUCAUGCACGAAAGCGUGGGGAUCAAACAGGAUUAGAUACCCUGGUAGUC
rnacentral:rRNA from 1 species